rfam:Skermanella aerolata KACC 11604 strain 5416T-32 contig18, whole genome shotgun sequence.
GGAGGGGUGGCCGAGUGGUUGAAGGCGCACGCCUGGAAAGUGUGUAUACCAGAAAUGGUAUCGCGGGUUCGAAUCCCGCUCCCUCCG